AGAGUCAAACAGUACGUGAAAUUGUUGAAAGGGAAACGAUUGAAGUUAGUCAUACCUACGGGUAAUCAACCUUUCGAGCGUGAUUUUGCGGGCUUCGGGGAGUUUAACCCCUCAUGUUUGCAUAUUCGUGUUUUUCGGGUGUACUUAUUCGUGUGGUAGGUUAACAUCAAUUUCGGUCGUCAUAAAAUGACGGGAGGAAUGUGGCUUCGAUCUCGUAUCGAAGUGUUAUAGCCUCUGGUAGAUGUGAUGAUCGAGAUUGAGGAUUGCAACGGAUGCCCUUUGGGCUACCUGUCUGGUCUCUGAAGGUUGCUCUGGUUCUUGAAAGCUCGCUUACAGUUAUCAAAGUGAACAGUCAAAAGGCUAGAACGGGUUAAAUUUCGUUAAGGAUGUUGACGUAAUGGCUUCAAACGA
rnacentral:misc_RNA from 1 species